CAUCAACCACGCCUCUAAACAACUAUGUUCGGUUGCACCAGCACCUCGUUGUUUGAAUCUGCACUCUGCAUUUUGCUUCUUUCUUCGCUCACUCAUGCUCCUCUCCUGCCUGCCUACCUCGUGAGAGUGCGAACACAUAUUUUCAUGAAAUACAAGGUGUGUUAAUAAAAGCAGUUAAUAAAAGCAGUUUAGUCAUCCUCUAAAACUAUCUAGAAUGAUCCAAUCUAUAGCUAACAAAACAACUAACGUUUUCUUAAGUAGCCUAAAUAGAUAGUUAGCUAGCUAGCAUUAGCUAGCUAGGUUGAUGCAAUCAUGCAGCCAGUAGCUAACAUUAAUAAUUUAGACUCACUGAAUAAAUGUGUUUGGCACAGGAUAAAGAAGAUGAAACAAUCUGCUACUGCUACCCAAGACCAUUUUUUCAUCUACCUGACACAGUGCCUGGUGGACCAAAAAGUUAGUUUAAUAAAUGUCGCGGGUCAUUCCAAAACAACUCACGGACAUUUGUUUACACCUUGUGCAGUCAUGUUAAUUCAUUAGCUAGCUAAGAACCUGGCUACUUUACCGGUAUAUCUAAACAUUUGGGGGCACAGAAAUAAAGGGAAAAGGAUAGCUUCUUUAGAAGAUCAAUGAUCAUAGCAAUGAAUGAAUGACUGAUCUCUUGCAUGUCAACACUCACGAACUUGACGCUCUUAAAGAGACAGUGUAGAAUUUUCAAUGUAAUGCAUCAAAAUAGGUAUUGCUUUUACACAAUGUAGAAACCUAAUAUUCCUCAAAUGAAAUGUGUAAUUUCAAUGACAGAUUUUUGUAUCAACAUUUUAGCUUUUUAUAAUAAACAAAUGUCUUUACAUGGUUAACUCUUACAUCUAGAUGUUCCGCUAGCGGAACACCGCUCCAAUAUCCAAUGAUAGGGCGUGGCACGAAUUACAAAUUCCUCGAAAAUCCGAAAACUUCAAUUUUUCAAACAUAUGACUAUUUUACACCAUUUUAAAGACAAGACUCUCCUUUAUCUAACCACACUGUCCGAUUUCAAAAAGGCUUUACAACGAAAGCAAAACAUUAGAUUAUGUCAGGAGAGUAUCCAGCCAGAAAUAAUCAGACACUACCACUAGAGUGAAAGCACAGCCAGCAUUCAAAAGUGACCAAAACAUCAGCCAGGAAGCAUAGGAACUGAGAAGUGGUCUGUGGUCCCCACCUGCAGAACCACUCCUUUAUUGGGGGUGUCUUGCUAAUUGCCUAUAAUUACCACCUGUUGUCUAUUCCAUUUGCACAACAGCAUGUGAAAUUUAUUGUCAAUCAGUGUUGCUUCCUAAGUGGACAAUUUGAUUUCACAGAAGUGUGAUUGACUUGGAUUUACAUUGUUUUUGUUUAAGUGUUCCCUUUAUUUUUUGAGCAGUGUAUAUAUAUUCUGGUUCUCCUAGAUUUUAUGUUGUGCUCCUAACUUUUUAAAGUUGGGAGCACUAGUGCUUCAAUGAAAAUGUUUAAUUUAAAGCCCUGGAGAUGUAACUUUUGUUAAGUAACUCAGGUGUUAUAUGAGGUGAACAGAAUACUGGAGUAGGACUUAAAAUAAUACAUUAUUUCAGAAGAACACUAAUCAGAUGAUGAAGAAAUUGGUUUUACGACACAUUAGAACAAAGUCUACUGUUGUCACAAGCGUCGUAUGGAGUGGACCAAAAUGCAGCGGGUAUAUGAAUCAUCUUCUUGUUUUAUUGAAAGAAAAUGAACACUGAACAAAAGAACGACAAAAACAGUCCUGUAAGGUACACUGACUAUACAUGGAGAGAACCACCCACCAAAAGAGGACCAAGCAGCGGAGGAAGGAGCAGCAGAGGAGCUAUAAGGAGUCAUGGACCUGGGAGGAGAUCCUGGAUGGGGCAGGACCAUGGCACCAGCCUGGGGAGUACCGGCACCCUAAGGAGGAGCUGGAGGCAGCCAAGGCGGAACGGCGCCAUUACGAGGCGUUAUACGCACCGAGUGGCAAGUGCGAAACAUUUUUGGGGGGGGCACACGGGUACUGUGGCUAAGUCAGGUCGGAGUCCUGAGCCAACUUCCCGUGCUUAUUAUGGGGAGUGACGGAUCAAGAAAGCACCGAGCUAUGCGGAAAUGCGCACUGUAUUGCCCAGACGCAUUCAAAGGCUGGUGCAAUCGGUGAAAGCUCCUCAGCGUUGCCAGGCUAGGUUGAGCACUCAGCCAGGAAGGGUUGUGCAGGCUGUAUGCUCCAGACCGCCAGUGCGUCUCCAGGACCCAGUGUACCCUGUUCCUGCUUCCCGCACUAGCCCUGAGGUGCGUGUUACUAGGCUGGCCCCUCCAAAGCCAGCCCCACCCAUCAGGCCUCCAGUGCGCCUGCCCAGUCCAGUACGUCCUGUUCCUGCUCCUCGCACUAGCCAUGAGAUGUGUGUCCCUAGUCUGACGCCUCCAAAGCCAGCCCCACGCAUCAGGCCUCCAGUGCGCCUGCCCAGUCCAGUACGUCCUGUUCCUGCUCCUCGCACUAGCCCUGAGGUGUGUGUCACCAGUCUGGUGCCUCCAAAGCCAGCCCCACGCAUCAGGCCUUCAGUGCGCAGUCCCCAUUCAGAGCUUCCGGCGACAGUUCCCCGUCCAGAGCUUCCGGCGACAGUUCCCCGUCCAGAACUUCCGGCGACAGUGCCCCGUCUAGAGCUUCCAGCGACAGUGCCCCGUCUAGAGCUUCCGGCGACAGUUCCCCGUCCAGUGCUUCCGGCGACAUCCUACAGUACGGAGCUGACAGAGACGGCCCACAGUCCAGAGCCGACAGAGACGGCCCACAGUCCGAAGCCGACAGAGACGGCCCACAGUCCGGAGCCUUCAGAGAUGGACCACACUCCGGAACCGACAGAGUCGCCCUCCAGUCCAGCGCACAGUCCGGAGCCUGCAGAGACGGCCCACAGUCCGGAACCGACAGAGUCACCCUCCAGUCCGGCGCUGCCAGAGUCGCCCUCCAGUCCGGCGCUGCCAGAGUCGCCCGCUAGUCCGGCACAGCCAGAGUCGACUGCCAGUCCGGCGCAGCCAGAGUCCCCCGCCAGGCCGGCGCAGCCAGAGUCGCCCGCCAGGCCGGCGCAGCCAGAGUCGCCCGCCAGUCCGGCGCUGCCAGAGUCGCCCGCUGCGAGGGUCCCCAGUCCGGGGUCGGCGUCCCGCUCCUGAGCCAUCUCCAUAGGGGGGAGGAUUGGGAAGGGGGGGUGUUGCACAAGAACCGUCAGUGACGGUGGCCACCCUCCCUUCCCUCCCUUUAGUUUGGGGUUAUUGUUUUUUGUGAGUUUUUGUCUCAGGUGCAUUCGGGGUCUGCACCUUUGGGGUGGGUACUGUCACGUCCUGACCAGUAAAGGGGUCAUUUUGUUAUUGUAGUUGGUCAGGAUGUGCCAGGGGUGUGUUUGUUUUGUGUUGUUGGGUUUUUUGGGUACUGUUCUAUGUUGUUCUAUUUUUAUGUUCAGGGUUUUGGUUUGGCCUUCAAUUGGAGGCAGCUGUUCUUCGUUGCCUCUAUUUGGAGGCCAUAUUUAAGUAGGGGUUUUCAGCUUGUGUUUUGUGGGUGGUUGUCUCCGUGUAUAGUCAGUGUAUAUUAUAGGACUGUUUUCGUCGUUUGUUUUGUAUAAGUGUUUUGUUUUGGUUUUCUUCAAUAAAAGAAGAUGAGCAUUCAUAUACCCGCUGCAUUUUGGUCCACUCCAUACGACGAUUAUGACAACUGUGUAUGGUAUUAAAUGUAACCCUGCCUUACAUAAAGCUUACAAAAUAAAUAAUUGCAGAAGAGCACAGUAAUCAGAUAAACAGAUAAUAUAUGGCAUAAAAUUAAAAUACUUUUCUACAUUGAAACCUGUCUCUCUUUUUAAUAUUUCAAAGUCCACUGCUUAACAUUAUAUGUGUAUCGAGUGACAUUCAUAUUUAAAGACAUUGUAACCAUUCUGUGCAUAAUGCUCAGCCCUGCUAUAGUAGUUCACUAAACUACAGAGUAUGUUGUCCAUUUAAGUUUUUGUCUCUGGCUCUUUUGAUAACAGAUUCAGAAUGAAUAAUAACAAAGUUUGUGGUAGUUUGAAAUGGUUUGAUCCACCUUAGGCCAGGAGUGUUUCCAAUUCACAUGACCCGACAAGAAAAAACCCAGCCCUAUCGUCAUAGCACAGAUGAAAAAGUAAAACCUUCAUGCCCAGAAAAGACACAUACACAUUUUGCCACACCACUUUUGAACAUGUGGUGCCGCCUCUGCUUCAGACUGUUAAAAAUACAUAUCUGCAUCUUUCCUGAAUAUAUGACUUUUAGAUGCAUUUAUGUUCUCAGCAAAAUGCAAUAAACUGAAACCCAUUUUGGGACAUACAGUAUCUAUCUUAAGUUAUCUCAGUCUUCAUGGAGCAGACUAGAUAGUGGGCUGAUAGCAUAGUGUAGGUCAAGAGUUUGAACUUCAGAAUUUUAGAUACAUAUAGGAAGAAAGCCAUUGAUCCUCCUUAUCUAAGUAUUCAAUUAUUACAAUUACAUUUGCAUUCCUAUCCACUAUCAUUCUAUAUUUGCAUCAUCCUUAAAAUAUUUUGGAGCAGAGCAGCUGCUCUGCUUGAUGGUCAGUUCAAGGUGCCAGUGUCUGUUGGAGUCCUUCUGCAGGUUAGGCAGAUGUUCAUUAGCUGGAUAGCCAUUCAUCUUCGUAUGGAUAACAAUGGCCUGGCAGAAACUCAUGUUCUUUCAUGAGGGCAUCGUAUCCGGUUCUCGCGCCAGGUCAUAUUCCAUCCCUCACCUCCUGCUAUUAAAGUCCAAAUGUUGAAGGUGACAAACAUUCCAAUGGCAGAUAUUCUAUAUUAUACUAUGGGAUAUGUUUUUGCAUUUAUAUGGCAGCAUUAACAUACACUGAGUGAACAAAACAUUAGGAACACCUUCCUACUAAGGAGUUGCACCACUUUUUCUCCGUCAGAACAGCCUCAAGUCAUCGGUGCAUUGACUACAAGGUGUCAAAAGCAUUCCACAGGGAUGCUGGCCCAUGUUGACUUCAAUGCUUCCCACAGUUGUGACAAGUUGGCUGGAUGACCUAUGGGUGGUGGACCAUUCUUGAUACACACGUGAAACUGUUGAGUGUGAAAAACCAAGCAGCGUUGCAGUUCUUGACACACUCAAACCGGAGUACCUGGCACCUACUAACAUACCCCGUUCAAAGACUCUUGCCCAUUCACCCUAUGAAUGGCACACAUAUACAAUCCAUGUCUCAGUUAUCCCAGGGCUAAAAGUCCUUCUUUAACCUGUGUCCUCCCCUCCAUCUACACUGAUUGAAGUGGAUUUAAUAAGGGAUCAUAGUUUUCACGUGAAUUCACUUGAUAAGUCUAUGUCAUGGAAAGAGCAGGUGUUCCUAAUAUUUUGUACUCUCAGUGUAUGUUUUCCCGAUUACCCUUGUGUGCAGAUUAGUAGAUGUAAAAACAAGUACAUGUCAGUAGUUUAUUUCCCAUAGCAGGUCAAGCAAGUCAUUUACAAUACUAUUUUCAAAAUUUUUCGAUUAUGUAUUAAGCUUACAAUAAUAAUUACACAGCAAGGGCAUUGUAAUGUGAAGUAUGACCACAAGUUUUAACGUUUUGUCACUUAAUUUCCCCUGCCUAUGCAUCUUGGCUGGAGCUAUCACAUCAAGCAAAACCAUGGCGUGGUUACGUUUCUGUCUGCAAAACACAUUUAUG
rnacentral:lncRNA from 1 species